GUGACUCUGGAGAAUCCCAGUUUGGGUGCCGAAGGUGUAAGGCGCUGCCGCGCCAAUCUCUCAGGCAAAAGGACAGAGAA
rnacentral:ncRNA from 1 species